GUAAGGAACUGGUGGCCAGUUCGAGUGACUUUCUCGACGGGCAAUUGCGUUUGCGCCAACGCAUUGCCGUGCGCCUGCACCUGGCCAGUUGCAGCAACUGCCGGCGGUUUAUCCGCCAGAUGCGCGUGACCCAGGCGGUGCUGCGCAAACUGCCGGAUGAACCAAUACCUGAGCUGGAUAGCCUGGCCAAGCGUUUGGCAGAGAUCCAGCAGGGGCGUUGAAGCGGGAUUGCGGAAGAUCAAAAAAUCGAGGCUAAAGCCUCGAUGCUUU
rnacentral:sRNA from 1 species